rnacentral:rRNA from 1 species
CCUACGUGAGGCAGCAGUGGGGAAUAUUGCGCAAUGGGCGAAAGCCUGACGCAGCGACGCCGCGUGAGGGAUGAAGGUCUUCGGAUCGUAAACCUCUGUCAGCAGGGAAGAACGGUCACUGUGCUAAUCAGCAGUGAAUCGACGCUACCUGCAAAGGAAGCACCGGCUAACUCCGUGCCAGCAGCCGCGGUAAUACGGAGGGUGCGAGCGUUAAUCGGAAUUACUGGGCGUAAAGCGCUCGUAGGCGGUAUGUCAAGUCAAGGGUGAAAUCCCCGCGCUCAACGUGGUAACUGCCUUUGAAACUGGCAAACUGGAGUGUGUGAGAGGAUAGUGGAAUUCCAGGUGUAGGAGUGAAAUCCGUAGAUAUCUGGAGGAACAUCAGUGGCGAAGGCGACUAUCUGGCACAUAACUGACGCUGAGGAGCGAAAGCGUGGGUAGCAAACAGGAUUAGAUACCCCUGUAGUC